CAGGAAGCUGCAGGUAGCAGGGGAGCGGGUUGGCCCAGGCCUCUCUGGCUGCCAAGGCAGGAGCGGUCCCCGUGUGCCACCUGGGUGUUGCUGGACCUUGGACAGUGUGGCCAGAGGAUCCGGAAGGGAUUCUGCCUGAGAGGGCCCACGGAGGACUGGUGGCCAUGUGGAAGUUGAACUGAUGCUCACUGAACUCCUGAUUAUGUCUGGGUCCUAAACUAGGCCUUGGGCCUCCACAGGUGAGGAAACCGGGGCGUGGAGAGGCUGUGUUACUUGCUCAAGGUCACAUUACUAGCAAGUUCCAGAUCAAGAUGCAUCCCCAGGCAGUCUGGCUCCAGACUCCGUGCAUUUACCUGCAGAACCCCUCUCCAGCCAGCAUCUGACCUGUGGCCCAGGAGUGUGCACCCUCUGGCAGGUGAGGGCUUGGAGCAGAGACCUGGCCAUUACAGGAAGCAGCCUGGAGCUAUGGACAGAACGGAGAGAGUGGGGGCCAGCGGCGCUGCUGCCUUCAGACACCGGUUGAUGAACCGUCCCAUGUGGUCCUGCCCAGGGAGUGGAGCCCAGCGCACAAGGCCUGGCAGGGACAGGAGGUCUAAGGUCUCAAAUGGAUUUACCAGCAAAGCCAAGACUCUAGCCCAAGUGCCUGGAUCCCAUUUCAGAGUCUGUCCCAUCAGAGCACACAGCCAGGAAGGUGAGACAGCAGGUAUCGUGGAGAGAGGCCACUGAUUGGUCAGUGUCAGGCAUGCUGAGUUAUCUGUGGCCCUGUCCUAUUCUGAGCAUAUUUUCCUCUGCACAGAUAAAGUCAGAUCUUUGCACUUGUCCAGUGAGGUGUUCCUCACGGUAAAUGGAUGACAAUUGACAAAGUGCCUACUGUGCGCCCACCUUGGCCUGGGGCUUUCGUGGGUGUUAUCUUGCUUCCAUUGUCUUGGGGAAGGAGCCAGGAGGGAUGUGGAGGACAGAGG
rnacentral:lncRNA from 1 species